rnacentral:rRNA from 1 species
UACGUAGGAGGCGAGCGUUGUCCGGAUUUACUGGGCGUAAAGAGCGCGCAGGCGGUCGUGCAAGUCGCGUGUGAAAGCCCCCGGCUCAACUGGGGAGGGUCACGCGAUACUGCUCGACUCGAAGGCAGGAGAGGGAAGUGGAAUUCCCGGUGUGGUGGUGAAAUGCGUAGAUAUCGGGAGGAACACCUGUGGCGAAGGCGGCCGACUGGGCCGACCCUGACGCUGAGCCACGACGGCGUGGGGAGCAAACGGG